UCAUCACUCUCUCUCUGCCACUUUUACUACUGCCCUUUCUUUUUCCCCCUAAGUUCUAGAGAUGAGGUUUUUACUGUUGUUUUCUUCUUUCCCUUUCCGACACCAUUUUCACUGCAGAUUUUGCUGCUGCAGUAAAAACCUAACUUUCACCCAAUGUAAAUGCAGUACAACACCCACUCAUGCGUACCAGUGUGUGUGAUAAAAAUGUUUUAGAAGUCGCUUUCUCAUCUCUGAUUCUCAUGACGAAAGCGACCCAUCAUCUCCUCUCUUGCUUGGAUUCACUUAUAGUCACUAUUCUUCACUUCUUUAAACCCCUCAAACCUUAUGAUUAUAUGUGUUUUAUGUCUCUGAUUUUCUUCCUUAUUAUUCUAAACACACACACACACAAAAAAAACAAGUAUAUAUAUAUAUGUGUAUAUAUAUAUGGAUCCUCUCUCUUGUUCUUCCCUCCAUCAUUUUUCAUCUGUUGUGUUCUCAGACCAAUAUAAACAGUGGGGUUUUAAUGGGGGAUUUAGGGUUUCAAUUGGGUGUGCAAGCCCUUUGUUGUACGUGUUAUCAGAUAAGUGCUGAAUUAGGUUUCUUUUCUUGUUUUUCUCACACCCGUUAGUUCUUGUAAUAACAGCUUUUUAUGGGUCUUUUUUUUUCUCCCUUCAUACAUGAGUUCUCUGAUCAUGAUUUUUUGAUGUGGCAGUAUUUUUCUGGUAUUCUUGAUAUGGGGUUUCAUCAUGAAGAUUUAUGGUGAGAUGGGCUGCUCUUCUGCUUAUCAAGAUGAGGACUUUAAGCUAGGAUUUUCUCGCCUGAUGUGAUUUCUUGGUCUUAACAUUGCGGGAAGAAGGGACAAAUCAAUUAUUUUUUUGUAGUGUCGUCAGCUACGGAAGACGAGAAGCUCAGCUGGUGGGAGGCUGAUUCGCGGUGGAGUUGCUUGUUGCUAUUUGCAGGUUUUACGGGUUCAUAUUUUUGCUCGAAAAAAAUUAGUGGGCAGCUCUCUGUUCGUUUUUCUGCUCAAGCACUUAUUCCAACACAUUACUAGGUUUUCUUUUGCUGAUACUACUUUCCUGUGUUGGUCUAGCAGCAACCUUGAUUUUUACAUUGAACAUGACAAGGUUUCAUUUUACAAACAGUUUCAAAUGUGCAUCUUAGCAGAAAGCAUAUAAUUUGAUUCUAUCCAUUCUUGAUGAGUAUGAUGAUGGCUCAGUUAAGCCCAGAAUGAUCACAACCACACUUUUCUUCCCGUUCAAAUUGAUUAAAAGGUGAAUUUCAUUAGAUUCAGACAAAUUACCUACUUUUCUGCCUCAAAAUCUGGCAAUUGUCGUUCUCCAUCUUGUUUGUGUCUGUUAGUACAAUAUAAACACAUUUUCUUCUCAUGCAUGGCUGUACCACAAACUGCAUUCUUAACAAUGUGAUGUAAUAACUGGUGGUGGUACGAAACAUAUUUAAUUAGUGGCUCUCAUUAACUUAAUAUUCUUGAUCAGGUCAUGCAACGUCGUUGUGGUACGAACUUUUCUGCUUUUUAUUUCUGUGGUGCCAUUUUGAGACAGCAAGCAUAUGGGACGAGCCCGAGAACAAAGCGACUACAGAUGUUGCCAAAAAUGGAUGGCGGACGUCGUCCCGUUGGUGCCCUGUUUCAUGAAAAGGGACUAAUUGUUUUGAAAUGAUUCAUGCUGCAAACCUUUUGGAGUAGUACUUUUAAUUGUAUUUAAAUCCUGGUUAUGGAUAGAAUCAAAAUUAGAUUCGAUUUGUAGGGUGGUCCCCUGGUUUCUUCAUGUGUAUUUUAUUGUCCGAAAUGCAGUGUGUUAUUGGCUGUGCUGCUGUUUUCUUACACUAUUAUAAUAUCAUCUUUGAG